GCUCGACUUCGGUGUGGCGGAUACUGCGUUCCACUUCUCCGACGAUUCUUUGCGUUAGAAUUGGUCGUAAUAAUAUGCGUUUUUCUCGUCAUUUGGCUCGAGCUUCUCUUACCCGUUUAAUAAACCCUUCUACUCCUAUAUGGUGUUGUUCAUUGAGUAUGGGGAUGAAGUCUAGUCAGGUUAUUACGUUGUACAUGGGGUUGUCACAAUUUACUACUUCUCCAUUGUCCAUAUCGUCCGUAUCAUUAGGUUUUACAGGUGGUCGUUUUCUCUGAUUAUUGCUGGUAUUAGAUUCGUCCAUGGUAAUAAAGGAACCUAAUUCAGUAGUAGCGUCAUGUCCUAAAUUUAUUUUAGAGAUAUGUUUUCCUAAUAUUUCUAUCUCUGCUGCACGCUUUUUGUUUUCACUGUCGGCUAUUCUUUGCGUUUUAUUGCGUUUCUUCUAUACGUCGCGCAAAGAGUUCGAUUUGCUCGAGUAUGGCACGAGUUGACUUAUCCAUAACUCCGAUUGUAAAAGAGCUAUUAAUGGUUUUGACUUUGUUUUCUCUAAUCCAGC
rnacentral:misc_RNA from 1 species